rnacentral:rRNA from 1 species
AUGAACCAGCGGCCACAGAGUUGCAACUGCCGGUUGGCAAGAUGCACCUGCGGAGGGGGGGCACUGCUGGAAUCGACCAUCAAUUUUAUUGUAACCAACAUGGAGACGAGUUGGAACCGACCAACAUUUUUGGUGGAACCAGCAUGGAGACGAGUUGGAGUCGACCAACAAUUUUGUUGCGACGCCGAAGACUAUUGGGACCAACAUGUCAACUAG